rnacentral:lncRNA from 1 species
GCGCGGCGAACCCUAGGUGCCGCCGCCAUGCCUACUGCCUCACCAGUUGCCCCGAGGAGAUCUAUCUUACAAGUUCAAAGUGAGUUUAUCUGUUCUCUCCAUCAUAUCAUUACCCUGGUUUACCUUCUCAGCAUCCUCCCGUAUGGCUAAGGUUUUGAGAAAUCCAUACUGCAAAUAUCAUAGGGUGUGCUAUUAUAGUACAUAUAUUGUAGGGUGCGGUGGUGCUUAUAAUACUUAACUAUUGAAAUCAGCUUUCAUGGUUUCAAUCGUUUGUGUGCCAAUCAAUUUGGGUUGGUUCAUAUAUACACCAAUGAAUUGUGGGGUGUACUGUUGCUUAACCAAGUUGAUUUUAGAACCUAUUUUCAUUUUAGCAGUCAACUUUACUCCAUGUGUUAAAAAUUUAAAGGGCGUAAUUAACUAAACUGUGGAAAAUUAGAUGCUACAGCCACAAUAGUUCCUUUAUUUUAACAACACAAAAAUUCUAUAUACACUGAAAUCAUAAAAAAACAUAAUGGUCAAAGUUUUGCAAUGUACAAGGCAAUGGUCGGAUGUUAUGAAGAAUAGUAGGAAUAAGCAUGUAAUUCCCUUUGAGGAAUGAUGAAUCCAACGAUGUUAACUUUGUUUCUCCAGGCAUGUGAUCGUUUGGGGCGAGUAGAUUCCAAUGGUGGAACAUAAGCUAUGCUAGGUAAUCAACCUUUGCACAGUAAAACAUAUGAAGAUGUUCUGAAUGUAAGGCAUCUUCGCCAAUUUGAGGAAAAUGACAUUAGCUUACUUCCAUAUAUAGAUUGCAGAGCGCUUGUUCAAGCUUAAUAAUAUAGCAUGGAGACCAAGGCGAACAAUCACCCAAUGCAGUUGUUGCGUAGAAUAGUUUGCAUUUUUAUGUUCUUUCUUGCUUUCAAAUGUUCUUGCACGAGAGGAAGUAAGUGGCAGUCUUUUUGUGCUAUGUGGAGAUUUGUUCUUUCUUUAUGUGGGCUAUCCCUUCAUUGGUCUGGCCUAUUUUCAUGUGUUGUACUACAUCGUCUGAGAACCAGAUCAUUGUUUUUAUCCAGGGCUACCCAGUUAAGUGUAUCUAGACAUCUUUUUGUAUCGUUGAGUAAAUUGGUCUUGUGAAUCUAAAUUCUUGUGUUUGUUUGACUAUGUAGGUGCAAUUCCUCAAGCAUACUGGAUGGUCACCAAAGCCUAAUUGAGAAAUUAUUGAACCUAUUCAUGGAUCAGGUAAAAUAUUCCAUUCAUAAAUGUAUGGUGCGCUUUCAGCUCUAUCCACAUUUUUAUCCUUCCUUCGAUUUUUCUGUCAUGCAAUUUCCAUCAUGUGCUCGUUUGGUGAUGCUUCGAAUGUGUAACUCUACUUAUAUUUUUAGACAGCUAUAUAUCUUUGUCGAUUAUUGCAGGCCAGGUGUUGGUGUGUGGAUUCGCCAAUCGUGUCAACAUUCAGAUACUAUUCCUGUUCUGCAAUCAUAUAUUGACUUAUCUUCAUAUUAGUCGAUGUAUGAUUUUCUUUUAGUGAGAUGUUAUGUCUAUAUUAGAUGUACAAAUGCAGACACACUAUGCUUGCCUAUGUGGCAUGACUAGGGAGUGUGCUUAAGAUAUACUACAUGGAGUAGUUCUUAUCAGGUGAUCAUUAAUUAGUAUGGUAAUGAAAAUGUUCAUGAUUAUUCGGUCAUACUGCCUCUGAAAUGGUCAGUAUAGAUGCACACUCAAAUCACUAAUUGCAUUAUUAAGUUCCCAGUCUUGGUUCAGAUUUCUUGAACUGAAAUAGGACUUGCUUUACAAUUGCAUGAUUUUUACACAUUCUCUAACUGAAAUGUGGCAACUUAACUGAUACAAGUUAUCUAACUAUAUAUUUAUCUAUAGGAAAUUGAAUAUUUUGUGUCAUGCAAAUCAACAAACUGCAGGAGUUAGCUAAGGGAAGUUGCAUCUGUUUCUCCCUACAGAAAAAUGCAUCUAUUCUUUGCCAUGGUGUACCACACUAGCUUAUCCAAGUGCUCUAAGAUAUCAUCGUAUGCCUGAGCUUUGCCUCACAUGAAGUCCAUCACAACUAAACACGGUUCAGUUUGUUUUUCACCACUAACACUUUAUCUUAUCUGCUCCAUUUUCUGGCAAACUAGGUUGAGAAAGGCAUGAUAUUGUCCGUUGUGUAUUCCAAAUGGGUUGCUGUGGUGGAUGUGGUAACAUAACUUUG